UCUCAAGUGACUGAAAUGUAGGUGGAAAGCCAGCUUAAACAAUACAUCUGAGGAUUUCAGCAUUAGAUGAUCAACCUCAUAGAGGUCCAACACAAGAUGACCAAAUAGGUAACCCCAAAUGACAGCAGAACAACCUCCAGACGGAGUUGCUAGCUCCUAAUUGGUCUGGUAUCACUGGUGGCAGCCAACAACCAGUCCUUAUUAUGAUAUUGUCAGAGCAGAGAAAUCAUGGUCACAGGGGAAAAAGUCUCAAGGGCAAGAUUUUCUGAAUAUGUGAAUAUGCAGCACUCCUAUAAGUCUGCUCCAUGCUCAGGAUUGUUUUGGCUUCCAGAGGAAGGAAAGCAAAUUGCUGAAAGUAAAGCAAAUUCCCAUCCUUUGUGCCUGCAGGAGUUAGCAGAGAAAGGACAGCAUGCAGAGAGCUGGACUGUUUUAGGGGAGAGAGACUCUGAAGAAAGCACAAGGCUGAUUUUUAGAGAGAAUAAAAGCAAGGAGGUGCUCUGAAGAAAGGAGCAGUAAAUGCUGUGUAGCAGGUUUUUAGGUGACUGCAUUAAAACCAGGAUUCAGUAGCCUAUUUUGCCCUGAAAAGACACCAAACGUGGUGAUGUGAUGUCAGUCCCUCCAGCUCACCUUUCUCCUGGGGGUCUGUGCAGCUCCCUCUGGUCCCUCAGCUGCUGGAGUUAUCUUGGAGUCUACAAACUCUCAGCACCAUCACUCAUUCUACAAAUAUGACAGAGAGCCCAAAACCAACUUUGAGAUUUAGAUGAAACUGACUGAAUCUGGACUUCCAGUGAGACAAGCAAAGUUGAAAGCUGUUGAAGAAAUCAAGACAGAAAAGCUAAGUGCUUUUGCUUCACAAGACGUCCAAAAAAAACAGAGAGCCAAAGGGCAAGCCUCUGUUGCUGCUUGCUGUGGGGAGACACCAAAUAACUUUAUGAACUCUGCAUUCCUCAAAAACAGAUAUUUUCCUCCACAUUGAGUACCACGGUGCCAGGACUAAGUUAGCAAAAAGUGCUGGGACUGGGGAGUUCUAUGUUAACUUACAUAUAUCUUCAAAACACCCAAACCAGCCUUGUGCCCUAAUGUGCAUUUGACUUGGGGAUUGUCAGAGUCCAGCAAACAACCACUACGGCUGCAGCAAGGCAACGCAGAAAAGACCCUUUCCAGUCCUCUUCCACAAGCAGAAAGAUCCUCUGCUGAAAACAAGGUCAUCUAUCUUAGAUUAAGCUUUAUUUUUUUUGGUGAAACUCAGAUCACUCAACACCUGGAGGCAAUUUCCUAAGCAUCUGCAUUUUUACAACACGCAGCCAAGGUGGGAUGAAAGGGCAAAACUUACUCGGCUGUCAGAAAAGCUGGCGCUCCCAGGCUUGGCAAGCUUGCUUUGGCAGAGCAGCAUUGCCAUGUGCAGGGUAUCCAUGCAAAGCUUCUCAUUUAAGCAAAGCAACAUCAGGGCUGUGAUUUUCCCUUUGCUAUACAGAACAUAUACAUUUCAGUAAAUUUCAGUCACACAAGAGUGGGUGUAACACUGAGCAGCAGCACUACAAACAGAGGAUGCAAUUAUACUUGCAAAGUGUACAGAGCCCCGCAGGUUGGCCAUCUCUCAUUCCUGACCUGGGUCAGUUUGCAGUUUUUAUCCUUUCAGUUCUACAAGCAACAUGUAAUUGGAUUCCCCCUCCCCCCCUACCAUGUUCCCACGGGUUACAGCAAGUUAAAUGUCCUUGAAGAAAUAAAAGCGUUUUCUGAAUUUAAAUCUGCAUUUCAAAAAUGUUAUGAAUUUAAAAAGACGGGCAGAAAAAAUGGAUCCCUAGAAAGUGUUAUAUUGGUCUUUUUUAAGAUAAUUAUAAAGAAACAAUCAGAAUA